rnacentral:lncRNA from 1 species
GGCGAUUCCCCCGAGGCUCGCUAAUGGAAACAGCCUGCUUGCUUGUGGCCAGACCCUCUGACCCUACCUCCACUCCACCAGCAUGAAGGGUGGCCGCCAGGGGGAGGGGGCACUGGAAAGCCAGCAUUGCUUCCCGGCCUCUGCUCAGGCUGGGUAACACAGGGCAAGCCAGAGCCUUGGGAUAUGGUGGCUUUCAAAAGUACAAACCAAACUUUUCGCUUUAUUUUUAUUACCAGGCACUAAGUGCAAGACCCCUUCACAAAUCGCCUAACCCUCACCCCUUCCCUGAUCCCCAGUUGGCCCGGGAUGCCCUCCCCAAUUCCUGCCCACCUACUCAUCCCCCCCACCCCCAAACUGCAGCCCUGCGCCUUCUAUUUCAGCGGCACAAAGGAGCAAGGCAGCCCCUCUUCCUGGGGACGGGAGACAGGCAGAGGCAGCUAUCAGCUACGCGGGCUUCCCCCUUUUCUCCUCCUUUCCCUCUCUCCCUCUCCUCAUUGCUGUCGGAUCCCUCUGUCUUUACAGCUGGCAGGAUCAGCCCUCAUGUCCCCUGUGGGCGUCCCCUGUGGUUGUCUGCUCGGCCAAGGAGGAGGUGGCAGAUCCUUCGGACCUCUCCCUGGCCCCUGCACUCCAGCAGUCUACAGCACUAAUUCUUCUCAAGCAGCUCCCGGCCUGAAUUUCUGGAGAUGCCCACAUCUACCCUUUGUGUUUUGGCUGCAGCUCGGGGGAAGAAACAGGAUUCCUGAUGCCCCUUUCACUGGAUGGCAUUUCAAUUGCUGUGACACUCUGUGACAGCAGGAGAGUCACUUUGCCUCUCUGAGCCAGUGUGUGACGGGGGUGUCGGCUCAGCCAGCCAUGUCACCUGCUCCUUGCUCCUGUGUUCCAAGGAGAUAAGCUUCUGGAUGGUUUGACUUUCUGGCUUCUUCCAAGUUCCCUUCUGUUUGUUUUUUUUCCCUAUAAAAUCAAAUGAAUAAACAAGUUGUU